rnacentral:lncRNA from 1 species
AAGAUCUAUCCAAGGGCUCCAAUCUGGUGAAGUGAAGGGACAGAGGUAGAGGCAAGGACAAGGACAGGGAAGAAUCUGCAGUGUAGUUCCUAAGUCCAUCAUCCUGGUGCACCUACAUUACUCAGGCAUGGACUGACAGCUGGAAUGGGGCUAAUCAGGUGUGCUGGCUGCUACUCAACCUAAAUGAAAGGACCAAGACUCCCAGUUUACAAAGCUCACAAAAUUCCUUCUUCUGCAAAGGUCACUGAAAGUCAGUGGGAAUCAUUUUCAUAGAGCUGAUGGUUUUAAGAAAACAGCUGUCGUUUCCCAAGGCCUUGUUCUUCAGUGGUUAUACUCAGCUCAGAAGCAGAAUCUGAUGUCCUUACUUCUUCAUGUUUACCCAUAAAUACAUUCACUUUGCCCAGGAG